CCUAGAGUUGUAGGCUUUGCCUGCUAUCUCUUACCCAUGUCUUUUGAGUACCUUCGUUUCCUCGGCGGGUCCGCCCGCCGAUUGGACAAUUUAAACCAUUUGCAAUUGCAAUCAGCGUCUGAAAAAACUUAAUAGUUA
rnacentral:misc_RNA from 1 species